rnacentral:pre_miRNA from 1 species
AAAACUCCUUCGGACCGUUGGUCUACCGAGAAACAUCACCCGCUCGAUGGAAGAUCUUCUCUUUAUCGU